rnacentral:rRNA from 1 species
GACAGAGGUGGCAAGCGUUGUCCGGAAUUACUGGGCGUAAAGCGCGCGUAGGCGGUUUGGUAAGUCCUGUGUGAAAUCCUUCGGCUUAACCGGAGAGGGUCACAGGAUACUGCUAGACUGGAGUGUGAGAGGGGAGAGCGGAAUUCCGAGUGUAGUGGUGAAAUACGUAGAUAUUCGGAGGAACACCGGCGGCGAAAGCGGCUCUCUGGCUCAUUACUGACGCUGAGGUGCGAAAGCGUGGGGAGCAAACAGG